CCCUUAGAUGUUCUGGGCCGCACGCGCGCUACACUGACGAAUGCAACGAGCUUAUAACCUUGGCCGAAAGGUCUGGGUAAUCUCCAAAUUUCGUCGUGAUGGGGAUAGAUUAUUGCAUUUAUUAAUCUUCAACGAGGAAUGCCUAGUAAGCGCAAGUCAUCAGCUUGCGUUGAUUACGUCCCUGCCCUUUGUACACACCGCCCGUCGCUCCUACCGAUUGAAUGGUCCGGUGAAGCGUUCGGACCGUGGCCUUUGGACGGUUCGCCGUCUGUUGGCUGCGGGAAGUUCGUUAAACCUUAUCAUUUAGAGGAAGGAGAAGUCGUAACA
rnacentral:rRNA from 1 species